rnacentral:rRNA from 1 species
UACGUAGGGUGCGAGCGUUGUCCGGAAUUACUGGGCGUAAAGAGCUCGUAGGCGGUUUGUCGCGUCGGCUGUGAAAACCUGGGGCUCAACCCCGGGCCUGCAGCCGAUACGGGCAAACUAGAAUUCGGUAGGGGAGACUGGAAUUCCUGGAGUAGCGGUGAAAUGCGCAGAUAUCAGGAGGAACACCGGUGGCGAAGGCGGGUCUCUGGGCCGAUAUUGACGCUGAGGAGCGAAAGCGUGGGGAGCAAACAGG